AUGAACAACAACUACGGACCCAGACUCUCCGCUGACUUCCACUGUCGAGCAAUGAGCAGCGAACUGCCGCCGCCGGCGGCGACUGCGCCAGCGAAACCUCCAUCGAUCCCCUCCGCCGCCACCACCACCACCACCCUCGCCACCGCCGCCGACGGAACCACAACCAUAUCCUCGCUCGGCCAAGACCAGCUCCUCGAGAUCUUCCUCCGGCUGCCCAACCUGCCGGCCCUCGUCCGCGCCGCGCUCACCUGCCGCUCGUGGCUCGGCGCCGUCCGCUCCUCCGCGCCCUCCACCCGGCGCCCCUCCUCGGGAUCUUCCUCGAGGUCGACAACACCACCGCCCCCUCCUUCGCCCCUCUGCGCCGCUCAGAUCCGGACGUCUCCGCCGCCCUCCGCCGCGGCGACUUCUUCCUCACCUCCCUCCCGCCGGACGACGGCGCGCGCACGUGCUGGACCGUCACGGACUGCCGCGACGGCUACAUCCUCACGUGGAACUCGCUCUGGGCCGUGGCCGCGGUGA
rnacentral:rRNA from 1 species